UGGUUCAGGCAUGCAAGUCGAACGGUUCCGCAAGGAACAGUGGCAGAAGGGUUAGUAACACGUGGGCAAUCUGCCCCUAAACCGGGGAUAACAUCUCGAAAGAGGUGCUAAUACCCGAUGAUAUUAUCGGAUGGCAUCAUUUGAUAAUCAAAGGUAGCUCGCAAGAGCUUCCGAUUAGGGAGGAGCCCGCGGCCUAUCAGCUAGUUGGUGAGGUAAUGGCUCACCAAGGCUUUUGACGGGUAGCUGGUCUAAGAGGACGAUCAGCAACAUUGGGACUGAGACACUGCCCAGACUCCUACGGGAGGCUGCAGUCGAGGAUCUUUAGCAAUGCCCGAAAGGGUGACUAUGCGACGCCGCGUGCAGGAUGAAGGCCUUCGGGUUGUAAACUGC
rnacentral:rRNA from 1 species